rnacentral:rRNA from 1 species
AACGAACGCUGGCGGCAGGCUUAACACAUGCAAGUCGAACGGGCGUAGCAAUACGUCAGUGGCGGACGGGUGAGUAACACGUGGGAAUAUGCCUUUCGGUUCGGAACAACUCGGGGAAACCCGUGCUAAUUCCGGAUACGCCCUUACGGGGAAGAUUUAUCGCCGAAAGAUUAGCCCGCGUUGGAUUAGCUAGUUGGUGAGGUAAAGGCUCACCAAGGCGACGAUCCAUAGCUGGUUUGAGAGAACGACCAGCCACACUGGGACUGAGACACGGCCCAGACUCCUACGGGAGGCAGCAGUGGGGAAUCUUGGACAAUGGGCGCAAGCCUGAUCCAGCCAUG